UAGAGGUUGUUUUUUUUUCUCAUGUGUCUGAUAGCUUGACUCUUCCCUCCUCUUCACAUAAAUACCAACUCGGAGCAAACAAGUAUCACAGCCUCACCUGGGAGCCUGGUGAAGACAUCAGAGGCAGUGCACUCAUAACUGUUACCUGAGGACAAACUACAAACACAAGGUCUUCCUUCCAAGGAAUAAUUACUACUUUCUCUCUCUUGCACGAAAGACAAGAUCUACAGUCUACUAUAGGCAUGGACAACAGACUACUCUUCACUGUCCUGGUUGUGAUGAUGUCCUUGAACUUUAUGGGCACCUAUGCUCAAACAUCCCCACCCCUACCCCCACCCCCACCCCCACCCCCACCCGCACCAUCCACCACAACUGCAGCAGCCACCACAACUGCAGCAGCCACCACAACUGCACCAACCACCACAACUGCACCAACCACCACAACUGCACCAACGACCACAACUGCACCAACCACCACAACUGCAGCCACCACGACACCAACCACCACAACUGCACCAACCACCACACCAACACCAACCACCACAACUGCGGCAAUCACAACUGGAACACCAAACAUUACAAUCACCACUCCAGCAACAACUGGUCCCACAACCACUGAUCACGCAAUCACAAUCCAGCAAUCAGUAAUGCAAGCUCUACUGAUCACUGUGGCUACCCUGGGUCUAAGUAUGAUAUGAGGAAAAUAAAACCUUCAACCAUCAAAAGAACUUCCCCAUCCAUGCAUCUGUGCUAUUGAAUGUAAACCUUUAAAGGUCUUUCUGGAGUUUAACUUUACAUAGUGUAACCCUGAUUGAUAGGAUUAUUUUUGUAAUAACUCAACACAGGUUAAAGCAAGAGGACUGGUAAAACUGGUAACUCUUACAACUUUUUGAGACUUUAGCAACUCUGAUUUAAAAAAAAAAAAAAAAAAAACUGUUAAGAGUUUUAUGAGUUAUGUAACUAUAUUUAAACACAAUACUGCUGGGUUUUUGCCCUAUGCCUCAGAUGCAAUGUAUUCAUUAAAAUGUCUAAAACAGGGCACAAAUAAAAAGUAGAAUUAUAAUAGAAGCAUUAAGACUAAUCAAAAGAAAAAUUUAGAUCAUGUCAACGAAUCAUGGCUGUCAUCAGCAAAUGUCUUGGGUUCUAUAAAUUUUAGGUUUAGGGUCUAGUUACCUCUUAAACCCACAUUAUUACUGUCAAAAACACUACAGCCAUGGAACUGUUAAACUGUCAUGGAAGGAAAACAUUUUCCGACACAAUAAUGUCCAAAGUUAUAAUCAAUAACAUACUGAACCAAUGACAAACUUUUGUUAACAAAAAAAUUCUUUUGCAUAUGCACAGAACAGACAGGUUUGUUCAUAUCACUAUUUACAUUUACGCAUAAUAGUUUUGUGGUACACUAAAAGCAAGCAAAGACUGUGUUUUUUACUGCUCUGUUAUUACUCACAAUGAUGCUAGCUAAUGGCAGAUGUGUUUUUACAUCAUGUUCUUGUUACUGUUAAUGUACACAGACAGUUGAUUCUUCAACAAUGCUUUCACAAUGAAGCCUCACUGGCUGACACCGAACAUUGAAGAAAUUAAUUUUGCAUACUGACUUAUGUAACAAUGAAGUUUAUAUUGUAUGUUUACGAUUUUAGCCCUGUUAAUAAAGUGAUAUUGUUGGCAGACAGAAAAUGCCAGAC
ensembl:lncRNA